rnacentral:rRNA from 1 species
UUGUGGUGGCUAAAGUUGAACUGAAACUCUGAGGGCAAAAACUAUUUGCCUGGUAGCAGAACGUACUGUUUAUUUGUUCAGUGAAAGCCCCGGCAUCAGAAGUGAUAAUGUGGACAUGAGUAAAGAACCAAUAGGAUCACCCCCCCCCAGGUUUCCCAUAUUAAGUAUGGGGUUAAACAGCCCCUAAAAUAGCAACCCCCAGGUUGCGUUAAUGGGGGCUAUAGAUAAUAGACGCACAAAGUGCCGGGAAAGAAUUAUUAUAAAAUCGAAGAAGCCCCCCCCCUUCGGGGGGGGGGGCGUCUUUCRACAACCCACUGUACUAAACUAACCAAAGUGGGGGAUAGKGAGAGGGAUAAAUUUUCUUAAGGAACUCGGCCAACCCCCUAAUGCCCAUCAGGGUAAAUAUCAAAACAUGGGCCUCGACUGUUUACCAAAAACAUAGCUYUCACCCAAUAUGAAAGUAAAAUUAUGGAGGGUGAGGCCUGCCCAAWGGUUGUAUCUAAAAACGGUUGAUAAAAGUCAACUUCAUAAGGACAAUUGAAUGGCCGCGGUAACACUGACCGUGAUAAUGUAGCGUAAUCAAUAGCCAAUUAAUUGUUGGCCAGUAUGAAUGGCGUCACGAAGGCCCUACUGUCUUAAGAAAAUUCCCAGUGAAAUUGAAUUCGUAAUGAAAAAUGCUACSUCCAAUUUGUUAAACAAAAAGACCCCAUUGAGCUUUACUGGAGUCUUACWUUGCUCGGAUCAACUCUGGCCCCCCCCCCUUGGCGGGGGGGGGGGGNAUCGAAUUUAAAUGGAUAGCUUAGAUUAUGUGGUGUCAUAACCGUCGAUCAAGUAGUCCCUACAGGAUUACCCCCCCCGAAGGUUGACCUAUUUGGGUGAAUGAAACCCCACUCUUCUUUGUUAAAUGUGCUAACCCUUUCUCCCUUAAAGGGGACAAUGUAAGUUGGACAGUUUGGUUGGGGCGACCGCCUUUUAAAGAGUAACGAAGGUGUGCUUAAGGUACACAAUUUAUAACACAAGCCUGACUGCGAGGGGGACCCUCCGAGCAGACACCUAAAAUCUUCCCCCUUCCCCCCCGAAGGUUAAAGACGAAUGGUGGGUUAUAGUGACCCGUUAAUUUAGAGUGGAAUAGUUAAC